GGGGGCUUAGCUCAGUUGGUUAGAGCACCUGCCUUACAAGCAGGGGGUCACAGGUUCGAAUCCCGUAGCCCCCACCA
rnacentral:tRNA from 2 species